rnacentral:lncRNA from 1 species
UGUUUUUAUCCAAAAAGACAUUAGUUUGUAAAAAAAAAAUCAUUUAUACAAGAGUUUGUAUUUUGUAAUCUUAUCGUUAUUUUUCUUUGAAAUAGUAUAUACAGUCUUGAUAGGGCAAAAAAAUUUAAGGGAAAAUUGAUUAAUUUUAACAAAUAAUAUAUCGUCGAGUAAUAAGUCUUACCAGCGUAAUGACUUUGACUGAUAGACCACAAACUAACUGGUAUAAUAAUGGCUCUAUUGUAAUGGAUGGUGCGAGAGCGGAGUGAUUAGUAAAUAAUGGAGAACCAGGUGUCAGGAUAUUAUCCGAAGGUUUGAGAUGGCCAGGGGCCAUAUAAAGCAUACAGAGUCGAAACCCCCAUUGGGGCUCCAAAAAGUGUGAUUGGGUUGUGCUUAUUAUGGUAUAUGAAUGGCAAGUGGAUUGAACAUGCUUUAGUAGCAAGAAACAGAAGCUACUGGUUUUUUAAGACUUUUAAGGUACCGUACAUAGCUAUUAUGAUUUAUGAGGGUUUGAUCAAGAACAAAGUGAUUUUUGAGGGUUUGAUCAAGGGCGAAGAAACAACGGUGAAGGCUGCUGAUAAUAUGUUGUCUGAUGGUUGCUAAUUGCAUAGUGAAUUUGAUUUUUUUUUUUUUCUCAUUAUGCGUACAGUUGAUGGCCGAUGGGAUUCCCUACCUCACGAAUCACUCGCUUGCUUUUUUGUACCACUAAUGAUUUUUCCAGUGACUGUUAUUUUCAUUAGCUUUUUUUUUUUCGCCCCCAAUUCACUUCUUGUUCAGUUGUUUCAGUUUAGUGUUUUAAGAUAUUUUGAGAGAUAAGGUUAACUGUGUUCUUCC